rnacentral:rRNA from 1 species
GGGUUGUGAGGUUAAGCGACUAAGCGUACACGGUGGAUGCCCUGGCAGUCAGAGGCGAUGAAGGACGUGCUAAUCUGCGAAAAGCGCCGGCGAGGUGAUAUGAACCUUUGACCCGGCGAUGUCCGAAUGGGGAAACCCAGUGUGUUCCGACACACUAUCGUUAACUGAAUACAUAGGUUAACGAGGCGAACCGGGGGAACUGAAACAUCUAAGUACCCCGAGGAAAAGAAAUCAACCGAGAUUCCCCCAGUAGCGGCGAGCGAACGGGGAGCAGCCCAGAGUCUGAAUCAGCUUGUGUGUUAGUGGAAGCGUCUGGAAAGUCGCACGGUACAGGGUGACAGUCCCGUACACGAAAGCACACAGGCUGUGAACUCGAAGAGUAGGGCGGGACACGUGGUAUCCUGUCUGAAUAUGGGGGGACCAUCCUCCAAGGCUAAAUACUCCUGACUGACCGAUAGUGAACCAGUACCGUGAGGGAAAGGCGAAAAGAACCCCGGCGAGGGGAGUGAAACAGAACCUGAAACCGUGUACGUACAAGCAGUGGGAGCACCUUCGUGGUGUGACUGCGUACCUUUUGUAUAAUGGGUCAGCGACUUAUAUUCUGUAGCAAGGUUAACCGUAUAGGGGAGCCGAAGGGAAACCGAGUCUUAACUGGGCGUUAAGUUGCAGGGUAUAGACCCGAAACCCGGUGAUCUAGCCAUGGGCAGGUUGAAGGUUGGGUAACACUAACUGGAGGACCGAACCGACUAAUGUUGAAAAAUUAGCGGAUGACUUGUGGCUGGGGGUGAAAGGCCAAUCAAACCGGGAGAUAGCUGGUUCUCCCCGAAAGCUAUUUAGGUAGCGCCUCGUGAACUCAUCUUCGGGGGUAGAGCACUGUUUCGGCUAGGGGGCCAUCCCGGCUUACCAACCCGAUGCAAACUACGAAUACCGAAGAAUGUUAUCACGGGAGACACACGGCGGGUGCUAACGUCCGUCGUGAAGAGGGAAACAACCCAGACCGCCAGCUAAGGUCCCAAAGUCAUGGUUAAGUGGGAAACGAUGUGGGAAGGCACAGACAGCCAGGAUGUUGGCUUAGAAGCAGCCAUCAUUUAAAGAAAGCGUAAUAGCUCACUGGUCGAGUCGGCCUGCGCGGAAGAUGUAACGGGGCUAAACCAUGCACCGAAGCUGCGGCAGCGACGCUAUGCGUUGUUGGGUAGGGGAGCGUUCUGUAAGCCGUUGAAGGUGGCCUGUGAGGGUUGCUGGAGGUAUCAGAAGUGCGAAUGCUGACAUAAGUAACGAUAAAGCGGGUGAAAAGCCCGCUCGCCGGAAGACCAAGGGUUCCUGUCCAACGUUAAUCGGGGCAGGGUGAGUCGACCCCUAAGGCGAGGCCGAAAGGCGUAGUCGAUGGGAAACAGGUUAAUAUUCCUGUACUUGGUGUUACUGCGAAGGGGGGACGGAGAAGGCUAUGUUAGCCGGGCGACGGUUGUCCCGGUUUAAGCAUGUAGGCGGAACGACCAGGUAAAUCCGGUCGUUUAUUAACGCUGAGGUGUGAUGACGAGGCACUACGGUGCUGAAGUAACAAAUGCCCUGCUUCCAGGAAAAGCCUCUAAGCAUCAGGUAACAUCAAAUCGUACCCCAAACCGACACAGGUGGUCAGGUAGAGAAUACCAAGGCGCUUGAGAGAACUCGGGUGAAGGAACUAGGCAAAAUGGUGCCGUAACUUCGGGAGAAGGCACGCUGAUAUGUAGGUGAAGCCCCUGCGGGUGGAGCUGAAAUCAGUCGAAGAUACCAGCUGGCUGCAACUGUUUAUUAAAAACACAGCACUGUGCAAACACGAAAGUGGACGUAUACGGUGUGACGCCUGCCCGGUGCCGGAAGGUUAAUUGAUGGGGUUAGCGG